rnacentral:rRNA from 1 species
CUACGGGCGGCUCCAGUGAGGAAUAUUGCACAAUGGGGGGAACCCUGAUGCAGCAACGCCGCGUGGAGGAUGACGCAUUUCGGUGUGUAAACUCCUUUUAUAUGUCAAGAAAAUGACGGUAGCAUAUGAAUAAGCACCGGCUAACUCCGUGCCAGCAGCCGCGGUAAUACGGAGGAUGCAAGCGUUACUCGGAAUCACUGGGCGUAAAGGACGCGUAGGCGGGUUGGAAAGUCAGGUGUGAAAUCCUACAGCUUAACUGUAGAACUGCACUUGAAACUUCUAAUCUAGAGUAUGGGAGGGGGAGAUGGAAUUAGUGGUGUAGGGGUAAAAUCCAUAGAUAUCACUAGGAAUACCUAAAGCGAAGGCGAUCUCCUGGAACAUUACUGACGCUAAGGCGUGAAAGCGUGGGGAGCAAACAGGAUUAGAUACCCGAGUAGUC